AUUGAACGCUGGCGGCAUGCUUUACACAUGCAAGUCGAACGGUAACAGGGUGCUUGCACCGCUGACGAGUGGCGAACGGGUGAGUAAUGCGUCGGAACGUGCCGAGUAGUGGGGGAUAACGCAGCGAAAGUUGUGCUAAUACCGCAUACGUACUGAGGUAGAAAGUGGGGGACCUUCGGGCCUCACGCUAUUCGAGCGGCCGACGUCUGAUUAGCUAGUAGGUGAGGUAAGAGCUCAACUAGGCGACGAUCAGUAGCGGGUCUGAGAGGAUGAUCCGCCACACUGGGACUGAGACACGGCCCAGACUCCUACGGGAGGCAGCAGUGGGGAAUUUUGGACAAUGGGCGCAAGCCUGAUCCAGCCAUGCCGCGUGUCUGAAGAAGGCCUUCGGGUUGUAAAGGACUUUUGUCAGGGAGGAAAUCCUAGUGGCUAAUAACUGCUGGGGAUGACAGUACUUGAAGAAUAAGCACCGGCUAACUACGUGCCAGCCGCCGCGGUAACAC
rnacentral:rRNA from 1 species